UUGCCGAGCUCCUUCCUCCCCCUUGUCCCUUAUCUGCUGGAACAGGAGCGCGGGAGCCUAUGAGGUCAGAUGGAGAGAGUAAAGGGUGCGUGCGUGUGUCUCCCUGGCCGUCUGACCUGCAGAGAGCAUGUCUGGACCCCGCUCUGGGGUCCGCUGCUGGGACUCGGACACAGAGCAGAGGGAGCGAGCACGGCUGGGACAGAAAGGCCACAGAAGGCAGGAGCCAGGGGACCUCCGGGGUGCUCACACCUGUCCCGUGGCUAACGGACAUCUACGUCCAUCUUCCAUGCUCAGCCCUUACUCCGACAGACGGCGGCCUCCUCCGUUCCGCUCACACUCCUUGCUGUCUCGAGCUCGGCGCCUCCCGUAACCCACCAUCGAUCCGUACACUCGGAUGCGCCACAGUGACGUCACUCAGCACGUGCCAGCCGGCCCCGCACGUCUGCACAUGAGCCGCCGUAGGGAUUCGAGGGGCCUGAGGAGAACGGACUCUCGGGGCAAGAAUGAGAGGGGCCGGGCUGCCGGGCACCCUCCAGGUGAAGCGCGCACACGUGCGCCCCGGGGCCCAGGCCUGGGUCCGCGGAGUCUGGUUCUGGCUCUGCGCUCGUCCUCGCCCCCACGGCCUUCUGCCCGCCACACUCGGGGAAGAUGUCCCCGGCCAGAGGAGCGUGUGCGGUGAGCGGGGAAGUCUGCACCGGAAACAGUGGCCGGAGGCGGCCAUUCUGGAGCUCGAGAGACGCUCCCUGGGGUUGUUCUUUCUGACCAGCGCCGGGGGAAGAAGGCUGGCUUUCUUGUCCUAGCCCCAUCACCCUCGUGACGAGUGACUGCCGGAUGCACACCUCCUGGGCUUGAAGAAGGGCCUCCCACCUCUGCCCCCUCUGUCUGCUGUGACGGUCCCCAGACACCUUUCCUGUUCACACCACACUCAUCUCCUCGCCUCUACGUGGUUGAAAUAUGUCCCCGAACACGCAGACCUUUUGGGCGCUCCCUUCCUGGAAGGACUCCUGCCGUCACCCCGGAGCCCCACUGGGCUUUUCCUUCAAUGGAUCCUUUGAAGCAAAAACGCCACCUCUCUGGGGAGAUUGGGCAGGUCAUCUCCGCCUCCUCUGCGUUCCAGUGUAGAGAAGACUACGCCCACCCUAGCCCAUUGUUUGGGGUUCUGUCCUGGCGUGUUUUCCGUAAACGUGGAAGACGCGGUUGAGCAUUCGCUCUGAAGCAUAAAGGAGAAGACAGCUGUCUCUGGUGUUAUUUGGGGACUUUACUCCCAAGUCCAGGCAGGGGCAAAAUGGGAGCAUCGCUGUAUCAGAUCGGAUUCUGCCAUAACACAGGGAUGCGGGGUAGGCCAGGGAGACACGGGAAUCCGGCGUCAUCUCCGCGUAGAGGGCGAAGAUACGGAGAGCAGACUGGAGAGCAGACCGGAGAGCAGACGGGAGAGCAGACCGGAGAGCAGACCGGAGCGGACAGAAACCACAGUUGUGAGCGUCAAGGCCGCGUCGUCUCUCCACCCUCCACCCCAUCCAUCACUCAACAAACACUUCCUUAGCACUAUUCUUUUCCAGGGCUUGGCUCGGGGUAAGCAGAAAGGAAGGCAAUGCGUGCAGAGUGCGCCCGGCACCCCACAGCCUCUUCUCGUGGCUGCUCUGACCACCAAGGGUCACCGUGAUCCUGACUUCAACCGUGGCGGAUUCCCUUUGUCCUGAUGUGUGCGUAACGUGCGCUCCUUUGUGUCUUCCUUUCCACACUGCGUUUCAGAGACUCACCCCUGCUUUCCAUGUUCCCAAGUGGCACUGCCCUGCACAGACGUACCCUGACUUUACUAUGGGUGGACCUUUGGGGCGCCAGCCCUCUGGGACAUCAUGACCACACGCUGCACACAUGCUUGCUGGUGGCUUCGGAGCGUGGCCGCAUGCCCCUUCUUUGGAACAUCUUCCUAGAAGUGCAGCCACGGGCUCACGGAGCACACGUGUGGCUUCACUGCCUACUUCUAACGGGUAGAAUAUGUUUGCACUAGUCUGCACUCCUGCCAGCACCGUAGGUGGUUCUGGUUCUCCUCUGUCCCUGCCAAUGCUCCUUGCUGCCUGUCAUAGUUGUGUUCAUGGUGAGUGUGGGUCCAAGCAUGUUUUAUUUGGCGAGUAUUAACUUUGCCUCUAACACAUAAGAUCCACACGCUGGAGAGCAAUGUAAGAAAGAGAGAAAUUUUCCAAAAAAUGUCUAAUGACCGAAAUCUUCCUAUUUUUCCUAGACUUUCUUAUCUAUAGACACUCCAUCUGCAUUUAAAACCAGGAGUGUUGAGGUCCUCUUAUACACAGUUCUGGGGCUUUUCCUCUUUUUCACAGAACACGAUACAGCAAGCACAGUCCCAGACCAUCCGAUGCUCAGUGAGGUUGUGACUUUCACAGCAUUAAACUGCUUAUCGGGAGGUUUGUACCACAGUUCACUUAUCUCUACCCUCACAAAGCUUAAAACCGAACAUUAAAAAAGAAAAGAAAAGAAAUCAAGCAGAUAGUGAGGAAAUUUAUUCCAGAAAAAAGUGUGGUAUUUAAAGAAGCAAGACAAAAUCCAGCACCCAAUAACUUAAGAGCACAAUGUCUACAAUCCAAUAAAAAGUGGCAGGACAGGCAGGAAAGCAGGAAAAUACAAACCCAACCUUCAGAGAAGAAAUUUAAGCCAAUGGAAACCGCACGAGGCGUAACUCAGACAGCCAUCCGUCACGUGGCACAUAUAAAGCACCAUCAUCAGCACACGUCGUGUGCACAAGCACAGCAGAAGACAUUCUAGGUAGAUUUUUAAGACAGCGAGUGUCAACUAUAGAACAAUUCGAGGACCGUGGCCAGACCAUGUCUGUGAUCUCCCGGUGCUGACAGACUCUUCGUGAAGAUUCGAAAGGCACACGUCUCUGGGUAAAAAGGGAGGGUCUGGGGAUGAAUAAAACUAGGUUUUCUUUCACGUGGAACACCGGUGACAAGAAUGCAGACCCAUGAGAUACUGAGGGGAGGUCUUUCUAACAUGGAGAACGGACAACAGAACAGCAUAUUGAAAACAAGGUAUUUGGGCAAAUACACAUGGAAACGGCCAAGAAAUGAAUGGAAAUCCUGGUGGUGUGCAGCGGUUCAUUCCCAGAAAGUCACAACCAAAGGGAUGACAGGUGAAAAGAAGCCGACAUUCCCUAAAACAAGACCUCAGGAUGGCAGAACGCAGCAAGAGACGAUUCCAGACGAGAACGAGCAUGUGGGGGGCGGCCUUCCCGCAGGCGUCCAGCCUUCCCGCAGACGUCCGGCCUUCCCGCAGACGUCCGGCCUUCCCGCAGGCGUCCGGCCUUCCCGCAGGCGUCCGGCCUUCCCGCAGACCGCCUGGCAACAUUCAGGGAAGUUUAGUGCAUGGAUACCAUACAACCCAGUAAGCCCUUCCUCAUUCUUGGUUUCCCCUCAGUUGUGUUUGUCCCUCGGGAACUGGCCCCGAGUGAGGACAGAACAACAGAUGCUCACAGACGGUGGCCUCUGUGUGGCCCUGGGGGCGUGGACAUCCAGAACCCACUGCCACCAGCCACUGGGCACCACCAAAGCCAGGCGUGCAGAGCCACAACAACGUGUGUGCUGUGAGCCAGUCACUUCUCCCAAACCCACAACCGAGGUUUCACCACCCUCCCCAGCAAAGGCGAGGACCUUAAAGGUAGAAGUGGGUUAAGGGGGUGUCCAUGCCUCCCGGUGAGGAAAGGUGGGUCUGGACUGAGACCUUUUGUUUUUAAUUUUAUUAUAUAAAUUUCAAGUAUACAAAACUGGAACAAAACAGCCCCCCAGCUUUCACGAAAACUGAAGCUGCAUCCACCCCCUCACCCCGAUCCCGUGUCAUAGGAUUUGUAAAGCAAAUUCCAAGGGAACUGUCAUUUUAUCCUUAAGCAUUAUGGUUUGCAACUCAAAAAUACAGGUUUUCCCUUUUUGGAAACAUCACACCAUCAGGAGCUCAUUGCGCGAUUUUCCACACUCAGUGCUUGCUGCCACUGCACGUGCCUCUCCCUAGUUGUUCUGUGAGUGGUUUUUAGCAGCGUAUUUGCCUGUGUGUUUGCGCGCGUGCACGUGUGUGUGUGUCUGUGUGUGUCUGUGUCUGUGUCUAGGGGCAAACUCUGCAAUCAGUUUGCUUGUCCAUCAAACCUCCCUCCAUCCGGAAAUGGCUUCUCUUCAAUAGGAUUUGUAAAGCAAAUUCCAAGGGGACUGUCAUUUUAUCCUUAAGUAUUAUGCCCCUUGGACGUGGUUUGUUGAAGAACACAGGAUGUUUGUCCCAGAGCUUCCCACAGGCAGACUUCUGCUGACUGCAGCCCCGCGAUGGCGUUUAGCCUGUUCAGACGACCCUUGUACUUUCUGUAAAUGCAGAUCUACACACCCCGUCGGAUUUAGGGUUUGCAGGAGUGUUUCCCAGAAGACGUCUGCGUGUCUGGUGCCGGUUACACAGUCUCCUUCGUCUCCCACUCUGUGACGUCUGCUGCUGCUGGUGACCCCGGCCGACAUCCAUUCCUUCGAGAGUUCCAAGUUGUGAUAUUGAAAUUUCAUGACUUCUGGUUCAUUCAUUAGCUGGAGACACUUCCCAUCACCAACUCUUUGGUUUCCUUGAGGUCAGUCCACACCAGCCAAGCCGAGCAAACCUCAGGUCUCCCCGUGCUCUCCCUCCCAUCUUCGGGUUAGAGCCCUUCACUCCCUAGGGUCCUCUGCACCUGACGAAUGAGCUGUUUUUUCAGUAUUACUAUGAACUCACAAAUUUACAUCUAUCUGAUGUUUGCCAGUGCAUGGCAGCUAAUACCUCUAUUAUCUCAAAUUUAUUUUCUGAGCACGUGUCAUGGGACCUUGGUUGACUCUGACAACUUUUCUGCCGUCAGGCGUAAAGAGGGGUCCCACGUGCUCCUCAAACAGUUUCUGCCCCAGACUUGGAAAUCAACAAUUUCUCCGGUGGGUUCCGGCUCUUUCUCAUGGGAGGCGGUACUUAGACAGAGCUGGUCGUGACCACUGUGCAGCCUGUCCCUCCAACUCCCAAACCAAGGAGUUGAGUGAGAAAGUACAAAGUGAUAGAAAAUACCACUGUGGAGAGUUAAGAAGUACAAAAAAAAUUAGGGGCACCCAGCUGGCUCAGUCAGAGGAGCGUGGGACUCUUGAUGUCAGGAUUAUGAGUUUGAGCCCCACGUUGAGUGUGGAGAGUCCAAAACAAAGCAAAACAAACAAACAAACAAAGAAAAACAAACAAAACACCACCAACAACAACAACAAGAAAAAGAACACCACUACCAAGAAAACCCCUUUUUAAAAAGGUACACAAAAUAAUUCUCUGCAUUUCGUAAGUGUAAUUCGAUGCCACAGUUACUAUCACACAUAGUUAACCCCAAACAUCGGGUGAAGGCCAGUGGGAGGGAAGGGGGAGCGCAGAGAGAAAUGGAUUAUUAAAAAAGAAGAAAGAAAGAAAAAGAAAAAGAAAGGAAGAAGGAAAGAAACAGGCUCAUGGUUUAUGGACUGAAAUGUUAGUUAAUUUAACUUCUGUCAUCAGAAGGUCAGUAAGUUAAUAAACAAAAUUUUAAAGGCAAAGAAAUACAGGCAGAUCCUUACAGAAAGUAGACCCGUGGUUGGUGGGAGGGGGCGACGGUUGCUAAUGAGUGCAGGGUUUCUUUAUGGGGUAAUAAAAGUGCUCUGGAAUUAGAUUGGGGUGAGGCAUAUAUAUUGGUGAAUAUACUGAAAACCAUUGAAUUGUACAUUUUAUAAGGGUAAACUUUACGGCUUGUAAAUUAUAUCUCAAUUUAAUAAAA